rnacentral:rRNA from 1 species
ACGAACGCUGGCGGCGUGCUUAACACAUGCCAGUCGAACGGAAAGGCCCUGCUUUUGUGGGGUGCUCGAGUGGCGAACGGGUGAGUAACACGUGAGUAACCUGCCCUUGACUUUGGGAUAACUUCAGGAAACUGGGGCUAAUACCGGAUAGGAGCUCCUGCUGCAUGGUGGGGGUUGGAAAGUUUCGGCGGUUGGGGAUGGACUCGCGGCUUAUCAGCUUGUUGGUGGGGUAGUGGCUUACCAAGGCUUUGACGGGUAGCCGGCCUGAGAGGGUGACCGGCCACAUUGGGACUGAGAUACGGCCCAGACUCCUACGGGAGGCAGCAGUGGGGAAUAUUGCACAAUGGGCGGAAGCCUGAUGCAGCAACGCCGCGUGCGGGAUGACGGCCUUCGGGUUGUAAACCGCUUUCGCCUGUGACGAAGCGUGAGUGACGGCAAUGGGUAAAGAAGCACCGGCUAACUACGUG